ensembl:miRNA
UCAGACGUGCCCUCCUUGGAAGCUGGUUUCAGAUGGUGGCUUAGAGUGCUGUCAUCUAUCUAGCACCAUUUGAAAUCAGUGUUCUUGGGGUGGGAAGUGUGG